AUCUCAUACUUUCUCUCUCUUACUUUUUCUUUUCUUUUUAUCUCUCUCCUCGUUCUCCCUCUUCCACCUCAAAUGAGAGGUGUGUAUGUAACAUUAUUCAUAAUUAUGUAUGUAUCCUUUUCGUUCAGUGUCUUUUGUUCAUAGAGGCGCGCCGCCACCAGCAUCGUGUUCCACCACGCCAACUAUGAGACACACGACGGCCUCAUCGACAACUUCAAGAAAUCUCACCCUACGACGAGCAUGUACAGCUCCACCGUGCGCCGUCUUCCCCAUGAUCCAAGAGAUCCUCGAAUACCACAAGCAGUAUGAUGAAAUCACCAUUCCCUUUGGUAAAGCUGGCAAGUUCGACCGCCCUCGCCUGUUCGACCAAAUGUAUCACCACCAGGUCCCUCAAUGCACAGCCAGGUCACUUACCACUUCCCUCGCCGCCAACAGGUGAAAAAAAAAACAAAGAAUUUCUAAUAUGUUGGCCAUCACUUGCUUUGAAAGAGGAUGGCCAAGCAAUGCAGAUAGCUGCAGCUGCUAUGCUCAACUAUGCUGGCCAGAAUGGAGAUGAGUUCCCACUUAGAGGAAACAUGUACAUAAAAAUCCAUUUAUGUAAGUCCAAGAUUUGAAAAAUGGUUUUCUAAUAUCUAUGUUUUGCUCUGGAACAUUUAUAUUGUGAGAAAGGGUAGAUAAUUGAAUGGUCUGUUUUUUCUCUGGAAGGGAUUUAGGGAGGAGGGUAGUUAAGUUCCUUGGUGAAGAAGCUAUGAUUUGAUGGUAGAUUGAACUCUUUCCAGCUUGAGCAUACCUCAGGUAUACAUCCACAAACAUUCUAAAGUUCUAUUUCAGACAAUGCAACCAAUUUGAAACAUCACAUGCAUUCCCGUCAGCUAUUUUUCUUCACUUUUCUAAUUUGCGUCUGAUGUUGCAAGUUAAGGAUAUGAAAAUUCACAGUGAAGAUGGAUGGCUCUUUGCGGCAAAGAUCUUAAACAUGUAUUCAGAUCCAAUGGUUAGAAAAAAAAUAUAAUUAUUUUAUGAUUGCUAUGUACUAUGACACAUUGGUUUAUGUAGUUUUAACAAUGGAGAAUGCAGCUGCUAUCUUAACUACUAAGAACAAUCAGUUAACAAAAUAAAAACUAUUUCAUGAUUGGCAUAUAUUAUAACAGAUUGGUAAUAUAAUUAUAACAUUUGACAAUAAAGUUGCUUCUUAAGAGCAUGAGAAAAUCAUUGACUUCAGGAGAAAUAUAAAUUUGACUAUUAAAUUUAACAGUUUUCUCAUUCUUUGUGAAUUUUCUUCUUAGAGUUUUUGCUUUGAAUGGGAUUGGGGGAGGGUAGUUAACAAGUUAUCUGACUGACCAAUGGCUGUAUUUUUGGCAUCUAUGUUAGAACAAUGUUUUUGUUACUGUAGUUGCUUCAAUCCAAUAUCAAGCACUGACAGUAAAAUGCAAUGAUGCUUACUACAAACUCAGCAAUACCAAGGCACAUAUACAAUCUUACGCUUUUUAUGGUGGGUCCUUUGUGAAUCUGCUUAAAAACAAAUUGGGUUUGUAUAUGCACUUGCAGUGCCUCUUUAGAUUGAAACUGAUUUGUUAAUAUUGCAAUUUCAGUUAUCUGACCAAGUAUUCCCAUGAUGGAACUUGAUUCUGCUUUUGAGCAAAAAAUGAUCUUGCAAAAGCAGUACUGACAUAACUUGAAAAAGGAAUUCUUUCUUUUUUAGUGUGUUGUAAAUUAAGAAAGAAGUACUAGCACAUUCGUUUCUGAUGAAGGUUUAAAUCAAAAGAUCAAUUUUUUUUUAUUAAAUUUACGAUAUGUAGAAAGUAUAUUAAAGCCUAAAGAAAAAAGAAUAGAAAAACUACAUCCUUAUCAUAUAAAAUUUGAUAAUAAUGGAGAUUUAAGUUAGUGUUUAAUCAUGAACCUAAUGGCAGUUUCAUGUAAGAUAUUUAGUGAGAUUGACCUCAAACUAUGUUCUUUUUUAGCACAUAACAAAAAGACUAUGUUGUUGGAAAGUCAAGAGUCUUUUAGUUGCUGAUAUGCCAAUGGAACCUGUUAUAGUAAGUGAUAGUACUUGCUCAUUGCAACUACCACUUGCCCAUGCCUGACUUAUUGCAUCAAUUGUCAACUCUAUUAAGAGGUUAUGGUAUUGCAAGCUUUAUCAACCUUAUUUAUGACAAAAGGUUUGUUCUUCACAACGCAAAUUUCUGGUAUUUCAAGAUGGUUUGUCUCUUGGUUAAAUUGAACCUCUUGCUAGGAAAGUUUCAUAAACAGAAAACUUUGGUCAUUAAGCUCUGUUAAAUUUGAUGGUUCUGGUAACUCCUUCAAUUAACCUUCUAAUUGUGGUUCUUAUGGAAAUAUUUCCUCUUUUCUUUUUCCUGAAUAGAUGAUUUUGCAUCAAUUAUGUUCUUUCCAUAUGCUUUGAAAUAUUGAAGUAUUCAUUAUUUUUUCCUUGGUUAAAGUGAAUUUAUGUAUUUCUUUGUUUUUUCCUCCAUAUAAGAUGUGAUAUGUAAGUGAUUUAAUUUAUGCGAUGCCUGCACGCCGUCAACCUAACAUUUAUCUAUGGCUUUCUGUACUUUCAAUCCUAUUCUUCAAAGUUGGAUUUAGUCAUGAUCUAUAACUAUUACCCAAAAUUUUGUUGCAGUUCCCCCAUUUUUGUCACCUCUAUUCCCUUUAUUGGGAGUUGAGUCAGGUUCUAACAUUUUCUUCUCAGACUGAUCAUGACCACAUGGAUCUUUGGUAAAAUCUCAAGAUCCUGCCAUUUGUGAGACCUUAUCACAGUUGCAGAAAAACUCAAAGCUAUAGAGAACUCAAGGCUUGUGAUGGUGAUUUUACUUAUCUAGGGUCCCAUCACCUUGCUCUGCUUCCUUUGAUUGUUUACCGGACACACUCCUCUUGGAUUUCCAAUCCAGCAGCGCUGAAGAGUCGGUUUUCACACUUGACAAUGAGCUCUUUCCAUAUGGUCCGUGCUGCUGUUCUUGCUAUGGUAAGCAUGUUGUUGGAGCCUAAAAAGAGGUGAAGCUGAGAUUUUAAGGCAGUGUUGAGGUCCUACAAGGUAUCAUGAUGAAUUGAAGAUGAUCAGAGUAUUUCUGGAGAGCAAUGGACAUAGCUCCUUAUGCUGUUGGCAAGCUCUAUCAGCACUUUUGGUACAUUUGUUGCAAGCCUCAUGCAUAAUUUUGUUGCAAGCCUCAUGCAAGGGUACUCGAACAGAUCCUGGAGUCUAACACAAAAUAUCUAAUUUUUUUUUUUUGAAAUUGGAAUAAUAUAUUAAAAUCAAAAUAUCUAAUUAUGCAUACCUUUUCUUUUUCUGAAUUGCAUUCAGUUAAUUGAAGUCUA